CUACUAUACUCAAGGACGUGCACAGUCGGAUUCCUGACUUGGCUAGCGAAGGCCAUCGAGUCAAACACUCCGGAUAUUCCCAUACUGACUCAGUGCCUUAUCUUUAGCUUUGACUCGUUCGUAGGAAUCGGGGACUAUUUAUCUCCUUUGAAGUAGAAUGAAUCCUAUCUGUAAAAUUCGUUGAUCUUAAUAAAAAUGAUGCAGAAAUGAAUCAGAUAUUGAAAGGUGUCAAUAUUUUUAUUUUUGAUUAAGAUUCCAAGCAAAGAAAUGUAAGCAUAAUUAUGGACACCAUUUAUCCGCGUAAGCGCAUCCUUCCGGAAAGAAGUGCAGUGAUCAAUGUAUACGAUUCAAUGUCAAAUGUUGUUCCUCUCCUCAUGUUUCUCGGAGAGUUUUUGUCAAUUCUGUGGAUUAUUGUGAAUUAAUCGGCCCGUCUAUGCGCAAGGAUAGUUUGAUUUCACCAUGCCGAAUAAAUGUGGGGUUGUAAACUGCAAGGUAACUAGAAUAAAGACAAUACAUGUCGAGUGCUCAAGGUACCAAAAGAAGGACUUGAGGGACAAAGAUGGCUUUCUGUUUUACCCCCUCGUGAAAACUUAUCUGUGAAAGGCAUUGGCCAUCAGAUUAUCCUGUGAUUAAAUUACCUGGAGGAUACACUCGACCAAUAGAUCCGCCGAGUUUUUUUGAUGUUCCCUCGUCUUGCCUACCAACGCCAAAACCACCCCCUCGUCCAUCCAAACAAGAAGAUCAGCAACUCCGUCAUUUCAUGAAAAAAGGCAAAAUCUGUAGCCUUUCAGAAUUUUCUCCAGAAAAGGAACUCCACAAGAAAUAUGACAAUUUAAUUCUUUCAAGAACAGAGGACAGAUUUGUUUGCCUGUUUAUGACCGAGCAUUGUGAAGAGUGUGUUUUAUCAGUAGUUGUUGAGAAUAAACCAACAUUGUGCUCCCCUCUUACACUCACCGCAUUCAAGAAAGGAUCCAGAGUUCCCUGGGAAAAAUAUUAAAUCCAAAUAACGGAUUGAAUUCCUACACCCAAUUUUUUGAGUGUGUGCACGUCGACCUAAACUAUAAAGUUCCUUUGGAUGUUGUGCUUGAGAGAGUUGUGGAAGUAUUGGAACAAUCACGUUGCACAAAACUUGAAGACCCAAAGGAAAAGAAAAGGGAAAGAAAGCUAGACUUUAUAACUCAUCAGCUGAAACUGUUGACUCACAAACAAUUUUCUGUAAGUGAUUGCUGUUUCGCUAUCGAAUCGUUUCCCCGCUGCAGUUAUGAACAACUAAGAGACACUUUGGUCUAGCCAAGUACAAGAAAAAUAAAGUCUGUUGUUUCCUCCUUAGAGAUUGAAAGUGUUUUUUUAAAAACAUUUCAAAAACUUAAAACACCUCAACAAAAGAAUGUGUUUUUAUUGAUCGACGAGGUAAAGAUCCGACCCACUGUAGCUUUCUCUGGUGGUGUCCUCAGCGGCAUGGCCAAAAAUGAACCGGAUUCUAGAGCGACAUCCAUGUUAUGUAUCAUGGUCAAAUGCUUGCAUGGUGGACCUAGCAUUAUGAUGUCAGUGAUACCAGUACAUAAACUUACAGCAUCAUUUCAAUUCGAGGCUGUGAAGGAGGCUACGGCUCUAGUAGAAAAGACAGGAGGCAUUGUGAACCCCCUAUAUGUCUACGUAUGAACUGACUAGGAUUGGACUUUCCUUUGUAAAGAAAGCAAAAAAUAGAGUAUGUUGUCGUCAGAGACUUGUUGGAAUUCUAUCAACCAUGGGGGAAUUUAACGACUUCGACAUCGUUCAGUCCAAGAAACUGCUCCGUCAUCUCGCAAAUGUCUUACUCCGCGGUCUGCACAAUCUAGAGAAGGAUCACCAAAAGAAUGCAGCCCUGCUACAGACAUCCAUCAAGAAGGCACGUAAGGCGGAUUCACUUGGCGAUCUCAGCUCUGUACUUUGCGAAAUCUGGGAGCCAUCGAGGAAAAGAGAGGUGUAACGUUUGGAGAGAAAGCCUUUGGCUUUGGCGCACUGACUCAGAUCCAGUCUGCAGCGACCGAUGACAGAUGAUAAAAGCGUCAGCGCUCUGGGGCUAAAAUGGAACAAAUUCUACUUCGCCAUUACAACUUGGACACCCCCACUCAAUGUAUCAAGUAUCCUCAUUCCGAUUUGUUGGUGGAUUCUGAUACAUACAGCAAAUUAAAAUCCUUUAAUGGGAAAGACAACGGAAGAAAACCUAUACAAGUGGGUGGUGAUGGGAGCUGUUUAUUCAAUGCAGUCUCCGUGGCUUUAUAUGGAAAUGAAGCUCACUCGAUGGAACAACGCACCCGAACAACAAUCGAACUCAUUCUGCAUGGCGAAGAAUAUGAACAGAUAUACUCUCGUCCAAAGGUGUUUGUUCCACGACUGAAAGCAUCACCUAGGGAUACAAAAGAGGCUACUCGUCAGCAUUUACCAUUGCUGCCUUAUCAACCCUUAUACAACAUCCUAUUGGUUCUGUGUACCUACUAGUGGGCUGACCUAGGCCAGUAGUCCCAUUACCCACUGCAAAUUUUAGUAGGAAGGAACCACUUGGUAUGUAAGUACCUUACACCAUAUCAUUGGAAAAAUGAAACGGACACAAGGUCCACAUGCAUAUUCAGGCCCUCAUUUGCAUAAAUUAAAAUGGCCGCCAAUGAAAUACAAUGAAAAUGAUAACUAGAUAUAACUUUUGACCGACAAAUGGUAGAACAUUAAUUUUGGUGUUGUUUCAUAUAAAUAUAUGGCUGACAAACUCAAUGACACCAUCAAAGUUAUAAUAAAAGUUCAAAUUCACUCCUAAUUUGCAUAAAAUAAAAAUGACCGCCACUGAAAUAUAAUUAAAAUGAUAACUGGAUAUAACUUUUGACCGACAAAUGGUAGAACAUUAAUUUUGGUGUUGUUUCAUAUAAAUAUAUGGCUGGCAAAGUCAAUGACACCAUCAAAGUUAUAAUAAAAGGUCAAAUUCACUCUUAACCUGCAUAAAUGAAAAAUGGCCGCCACUGAAGUAUAAUGAAAAUACGAACCGAAUAUAACUUUUGACAGAAGAAUGAUAGAAAUAUAAUAUAAAUGUGUUGUUUCAUAGUAAGUUGUGGCUGACAAACUCAAUGACACCCAAAGAAUUAUCAUAAAAGGUCAAAUUGAUUCUUAAUUUGCAUACAUUAAAAAUGACUGCCU